UGGCGACCGGCGCACGGGUGCGUAACGCGUAUGCAACCUACCUUUAACAGGGGAGUAACACUAAGAAAUUGGUACUAAUACCCCAUAAUAUCAUAGAAGGCAUCUUUUAUGGUUGAAAAUUCCGAUGGUUAGAGAUGGGCAUGCGUUGUAUUAGCUAGUUGGUGGGGUAACGGCUCACCAAGGCGACGAUACAUAGGGGGACUGAGAGGUUAACCCCCCACACUGGUACUGAGACACGGACCAG
rnacentral:rRNA from 1 species